rnacentral:rRNA from 1 species
GACGGAGGGGGCUAGCGUUGUUCGGAAUUACUGGGCGUAAAGAGCGCGUAGGCGGUUUAGUAAGUUGGAAGUGAAAGCCCGGGGCUUAACCUCGGAAUUGCUUUCAAGACUGCUAAUCUAGAGUUUAGCAGGGGAUGAUGGAAUUCCUAGUGUAGAGGUGAAAUUCUUAGAUAUUAGGAGGAACACCAGAGGCGAAGGCGGUCAUCUGGGCUAUAACUGACGCUGAUGCGCGAAAGCGUCGGGAGCAAACAGG